rnacentral:rRNA from 1 species
ACGACGCUGGCGGCGUGCUUAACACAUGCAAGUCGAACGCGAAAGGGACUUCGGUCCUGAGUAAAGUGGCGCACGGGUGAGUAACGCGUAGAUAACCUGUCUUCAUGUCUGGAAUAAUACGCCGAAAGGGGUACUAAUACCGGAUAUUCUUGCUUUUCAUAAGUUAUGCAAGCAAAGGUGGCCUCUGCAUAUGCUACUGCAUGAAGAGGGGUCUGCGUACCAUUAGCUAGUAGGUGGGGUAAUGGCCUACCUAGGCGACGAUGGUUAGCGGGUCUGAGAGGAUGAUCCGCCACACUGGCACUGGAACACGGGCCAGACUCCUACGGGAGGCAGCAGUGAGGAAUAUUGCGCAAUGGGGGAAACCCUGACGCAGCGACGCCGCGUGAGUGAGGAAGGCCUUCGGGUCGUAAAGCUCUGUCAAGAGGAAAGAAGUGUACAAUGGCUAAUACCUGUUGUAUUUGACGGUACCUCUAAAGGAAGCACCGGCUAACUCCGUGCCAGCCGCCGC